CCUACGGGAGGCAACAGUGGGGAAUAUUGGACAAUGGGCGAAAGCCUGAUCCAGCAAUGCCGCGUGAGUGAUGAAGGCCUUAGGGUUGUAAAGCUCUUUUACCAGGGAUGAUAAUGACAGUACCUGGAGAAUAAGCUCCGGCUAACUCCGUGCCAGCAGCCGCGGUAAUACGGAGGGAGCUAGCGUUGUUCGGAAUUACUGGGCGUAAAGCGUACGUAGGCGGUUAUUCAAGUCAGAGGUGAAAGCCUGGAGCUCAACUCCAGAACUGCCUUUGAAACUAGAUAGCUAGAAUCUUGGAGAGGUGAGUGGAAUUCCGAGUGUAGAGGUGAAAUUCGUAGAUAUUCGGAAGAACACCAAGUGGCGAAGGCGACUCACUGGACAAGUAUUGACGCUGAGGUACGAAAGCGUGGGGAGCAAACAGGAUUAGAUACCCUGGUAGUCCACGCCGUAAACGAUGAUAACUAGCUGUUCGGGCUCUACGAGCUUGAGUGGCGCAGCUAACGCAUUAAGUUAUCCGCCUGGGGAGUACGGUCGCAAGAUUAAAACUUAAAGUAAUAGUUAGACGUGNGAGAGNGACGAGACGACGACGAGGAGGAG
rnacentral:rRNA from 1 species